rnacentral:lncRNA from 1 species
AAAGCAGUCUGCUUUCACCUGACAGGGACAACAGUACACCUUUUUCCUCUUCUCUUGGGGCCAUAUCAACUCCGGGAUCUUGGUUAUUUUGAUAUCCUACAGAAUAUCAUACUGACUGGACCUGGCGAGCAGGAAAAGUUGCAAACACCCUAGAUGCCUUAGUAAGAUACCUGUGUGUUACAGGAUGGAGCCUGACUGGCUCAUGGAGAAAGCCUACCUAAGAAUGAAGCCGGGACCCGGCAGAAUGGCUCCUGUGAAGAAGGGUGGCAAGAAGAAAAAGGGCCGUUCUGCCAUCAAUGAGGUGGUGACCCGAGAAUACACCAUCAACAUUCACAAGUGCAUCCAUGGAGUGGGCUUCAAGAAGCAUGCCCCUUGAGCACUCAAAGAGAUUCGGAAAUUUGUCAGGAAGGAGAUGGGAACUCUAGAUGUGCACAACUGAUACCAGGCUCAACAAGGCUGUCUGGGCCAA